GAUCAAGCUACAAAGAGCAUUGAGGUGGAUGCCUUGGUACAUGGCGCCGAAGAAGGACGUGACAAGCUGCGAUAAGCUGCGGUAAGGAGCAAAUAUCCUGUGACCCGCAGAUUUCCGAAUGAGGGAACUCAAUACGGGUAAUUCCGUAUUAUCCAUACCUGAACACAUAGGGUAUGAGAGGGGAACCCGGGGAACUGAAACAUCUUAGUACCCGGAGGAAAAGAAAGUAAAAACGAUUCCGUAAGUAGUGGCGAGCGAACGCGGAGGAGCCCGAAGGGGCUGUAGAAAUACGGCCCUGGUAUCAUAAUCCGAAGAAAUCUUAGCCGAAGACAGUUGGAAAGCUGCACGACACAAAGUGACAGUCUUGUAGGCGAAAGGGUUUUAAGGAGGAUACAACGAGUACGUCGGAACACGAGGAAUUCUGACGGAACAUGUGGGGACCAUCCCAUAAGGCUAAAUACGACCAUGUGACC
rnacentral:rRNA from 1 species